AUUGAACGCUGGCGGCAGGCCUAACACAUGCCAGUCGAGCGAGCGGCGGACGGGUGAGGAAUGUAUGGGGACUGCCCGAUAGAGGGGGAUAACUACUGGAAACGGUAGCUAAUACCGCAUACUAUCGGAUAACCCAUAUGGGAUUAGCUAGGAGGUGAGGUAAUGGCUUACCUAGGCGACGAUCCCUAGCUGGGUUGAGAGGACGACCAGGCGCACUGGGACUGAGAAACGGCCCAGACUCCUACGGAGGCAGCAGUGGGGAAUUUUGGACAAUGGGGGAAACCCUGGUCCAGCCAUCCCGCGUGUAUGAUGAAGGCCUUCGGGUUGUAAAGUACUUUUGGCAGAGAAGCGGUAUCUGCAGAAUAAGCACCGGCUAACUACGUGCCAGCAGCCGCGGUAAUUC
rnacentral:rRNA from 1 species